rnacentral:pre_miRNA from 1 species
UAUAUACUCCUUCCGUUUCAAAAAAAUUGUUUUAGAUUUGUCUAGAUAUGAAUGUAUCUACUUACGGUUUAGUGUUUAGAUACAUUCAUUUCCAGACAAACUUAAGACAAGAAAUUUUGGACGAAGAGAGUAUGUA